rnacentral:rRNA from 1 species
CACGUAGGCGGAUCUUUAAGUCAGGGGUGAAAUCCUGGAGCUCAACUCCAGAACUGCCUUUGAUACUGAGGACCUUGAGUUCGGGAGAGGUGAGUGGAACUGCGAGUGUAGAGGUGAAAUUCGUAGAUAUUCGCAAGAACACCAGUGGCGAAGGCGGCUCACUGGCCCGAUACUGACGCUGAGGUGCGAAAGCGUGGGAGCAACA